CAGGAAUCUGGAGAUCAUUGGACAAAUUAGACAUCUAAAGAAAAAAAAUAAAUCAUCCAGAAAAAAAAUUGCUUCAAGAAAAGGAGUAAAUUGGACUAUUGGUACAUCACAUUUCCAACAGGAAAAAUUUCAAAAUCUUCACAAAUGUUUAUUUCUGCUGUUCUCUACAGAUGUAUAAUGCAAAUAGAUUUUUUUUAUAAUCCCUCUCAAAUUAAAACUCAAAGAUGGCUUUGGAGUUGGAGUCUGAUUCUGAAAGGAAGCUGGACGAGAAGAAAAUACUCUUGGAACAAGAGGUACACCCACUUUGGAAACAUAUAAAUUAGGAGCAGCUCAACUUUCAAUCAAAGUCUCUUCUGACAAGAUGAAGACUGCCAGCUUCUUCCUCCUCACAUUGCUUCUCUUUCUGGUGACAGAAGCCACUGGGAGGAAAACCAAACAAAAAUUCAGUCAGUCUGAAGAAUCGACCAGUGAGACCUAUGUAACAGGCUCAGGGGAGAAGAGGUCUGCAUCGGGUUCUUCUACAUCAUACUCCCUUGACAAGGCGGUCGCCUCUUCCAGUGAGGAAAGCUAUGAAGAAUCAAGUCAUAAAAAAAGUAAAGUUAGCUCUGGGGAUUCCAGUGGUUCUAAUGCAGAAGGUGAGAGUUCAUUUGUAAAGAGAAAGAAGAGCCAGUUUUCUCAAGACAUGUCUUAAAUAAUACAUUCACUGACCAGCAGAGGGCCUGGACCAAUAUGAUGGUGAGUAUUUUCUCUGGUGAGAGAGAUACCUAUGCAGUGUUUAGAAGUUAUGCAUGGACAUUCCCUGGGUCAUUCUAUGGGGCUGGUCCCCACUGUGCACACCUGUGGAGCUGUGGUGAGAAAAGCACUUGGCAGAGCAGAGCUUAAAGGCACCUGGGCUGUGACUGUCUCCUGAAUCCCUACCCUUAGUGCGUACUGUCAAUGGUUUUCUCUUGCACAAUCCAACAAGUAAAAAAAAAAAUUGUAAGUUCACUUCAUUUAUAAAUUUAUAAUCCUAUCAAUUCCUACAAUUU